rnacentral:rRNA from 1 species
UACAGAGGUCCCAAGCGUUGUUCGGAUUCAUUGGGCGUAAAGGGUGCGUAGGUGGCGCCGUAAGUCAGGUGUGAAAUCUCGGGGCUUAACUCCGAAACUGCAUUUGAUACUGCGGUGCUUGAGGACUGGAGAGGAGACUGGAAUUUACGGUGUAGCAGUGAAAUGCGUAGAGAUCGUAAGGAAGACCAGUGGCGAAGGCGGGUCUCUGGACAGUUCCUGACGCUGAGGCACGAAGGCCAGGGGAGCAAACGGG